rnacentral:lncRNA from 1 species
AAAGGAACUCAAGUGCUUAUUUUUCUUGGGAUAUACGGUUUGUUAUUCAAUAUUUUCAGAAAUUAAAAACAAUAGGUCUAUAUUAAGAAAAUUAUAUCUUCAACAAAAUAAUCCAAAAAAAUAUUUUUACUAAUUAUAAUAUUUUAAAGCUAAUAGCAGAAGAUCCAUACUUCCUCGAAAUUAUUGACGUUGAAUGUGAUGAAGAACAACAUAUUAGUAGCUUUAUGGUCAAAUUUUUGACCAUAUAAAUAAAUAAAAUUAUAAAUUAUUUAUUGGGAAGCUGCAUUACUCAAGAAUAAUGAUUUAAUCGAGAGUGUUGUUCAAAUGAAAAUUAUGGCUUCCACGGAAAGGAAAAAUUAUCGUGAUUCAUAUGGUCUAGAUAUUAAAUUUCUAUUAGAAAUGUUUUUUUGAUCCUUAAUGUUACUCGAAAUCAUUUUUUAUCAUUUCCAUUAUUUUUUGACAGUUUUAUUUCAUUUUGAAAUUAGGCGGUUAAAAAAUGAACCUUUCGCCAAUGAGGUAAGUAUAGUUAUUUUUGAGAAUAUAUUGUUUUCAUAGGUAAUAUCUUACUAUUAACAAAAUUUUAGAGACAGUUACAAAGAUAUUCCAUUUUCUAAGGCAAAAGAGUAGAAUUAAGUUGAAAAAAUAUAUGAUCCUGACACUUCUUGAUGGGAUUUCUAAAUAAAACAAGAGUAUAGCAAGGUUAAUAGAAAUACAUACAAGAAACACUUUUUAACUUCGGAGUAUUGAAAGAGUUGAGCUCUUGUAUGCAAUAACAGCUGCCUAUGGAGGGAUAAUUAGAUGUAGGAAAAAGUGGUGGCUUAUAUUUAACAGACAAGCAGCUGGCAAAAGUUUGAGAUGUGACAAUCGUCCUCUCCUAAUAAGAUCUACCUCUCGUUUAAGACGCUGUAAAGGUCCAAUGAACAAUUUUUAAGAGGAAGGCAAAGUUUGGGUGUUUCAGAUGGAAUAUCGGCCAACAUUGCAUUCACAUUGCUCCUAUAAUUAUCAGAAAUAAAUGAAAUUAUACUCGAA